UGGUAAGACUAAGAACUGUAAGAGAACAUAAUUACUAUGAGAUGAAGCAUAUUCCUAUGUCAAUUUUCUGGCAAGUUCCUCAGUAUUUUGUCAUAGGUUGUGCUGAAGUUUUUACCUUCAUUGGACAAUUGGAGUUUUUCUAUGAGCAAGCUCCUGACGCGAUGAGAAGUUUAUUUUCUGCUCUUUCUCUUAUAACGACCGCGCUUGGAAACUAUUUAAGUACAUUUUUGGUCAAUAUAGUUACGGAUAUGAGCACUAGGAAUGGUGGUCCUGGUUGGAUUCCUGAUAAUUUGAACUAUGGUCACCUUCACUAUUUCUUCUGGCUUUUGGCUGUGUUAAGUGUGCUCAAUUUUGGUUUCUUUCUAUUUGUUGCAAAAGUUUAUACUUAUAAGAAGGCAAUAGGUCCAUCCUCAUAAUUUAUUCCAAUUUGUAACAGUGUUAUCAGAAUGGUUCUCCCAACAUCCGCCGAGGUUUUUACAUUCAUCGGACAAUUGGAGUUUUUCUAUGAACAAGCUCCUGACGCGAUGAGAAGUUUAUGUUCUGCUCUCUCUCUUAUAACGACCGCGCUUGGGAACUAUUUGAGUACACUUUUGGUCAAUAUAGUUACAGAUAUGAGCACUAGAAAUGGUGGUCCUGGUUGGAUUCCUGAUAAUUUGAACUAUGGUCACCUUCACUAUUUCUUCUGGCUUUUGGCUGUGCUAAGUGUGCUCAAUUUUGGAUUCUUUCUAUUUGUUGCGAAAUUUUAUACUUAUAAGAAGGCAAUAGGUCCAUCCUCAUAAUUUAUUCCAAUUUGUAACAGUGUUAUCAGAAUGGUUGUCCCAACAUCCUCAUAAUUCGUUUUCCUCUGUUUCUGCAAGUUACAAUAUUGUAUUCAACAUUCUUGAUUUUCUGAAAUGAGAACUAAGGUUGUUUUCUUGUUUUUCUGAAUUUCAGCAUGGUAAUGCACUAUAUUUGGUAAAAAAAUAUUGUCUGGUAAGUAAAUGCGGAUGGAGCCUAUGUUUAAUGGGUUCAACAUGGAACAUGUAUAGAUUUCUAGGAAUGUUAAAGGUGAA
rnacentral:lncRNA from 1 species